rnacentral:rRNA from 1 species
GUAGGUGGCAAGCGUUGUCCGGAAUUAUUCGGCGUAAAGCGCGCGCAGGCGGUUCUUUAAGUCUGAUGUGAAAGCCCACGGCUCAACCGUGGAGGGUCAUUGGAAACUGGAGAACUUGAGUACAGAAGAGGAAAGCGGAAUUCCACGUGUAGCGGUGAAAUGCGUAGAGAUGUGGAGGAACACCAGUGGCGAAGGCGGCUUUCUGGUCUGUAACUGACGCUGAGGCGCGAAAGCGUGGGGAGCAAACAGGGAUUAGAUACCCUGGUAGUCCACGCCGUAAACGAUGAGUGCUAAGUGUUAGGGGGUUUCCGCCCCCUUAGUGCUGCAGCUAACGCAUUAAGCACUCCGCCUGGGGAGUACGGCCGCAAGGCUG